GAGUUUGAUCGUGGCUCAGAUUGAACGCUGGCGGCACGCCUAACACAUGCAAGUCGAGCGGUAACGGGACGGGUAGCAAUACCCGUUGCUGACGAGCGGCGGACGGGUGAGUAAUACGCAGGAACCUGCCCCUGGGCGAGGGAUAACCAAGGGAAACCUUGGCUAAUACCGCAUAAACCCGGGAGGGCAAAGCUACCCGCAAGGGCGGCGCCUGGGGAGGGGCCUGCGUCCGAUUAGCUUGUUGGUGAGGUAAAGGCUCACCAAGGCGACGAUCGGUAACUGGUCUGAGAGGACGACCAGUCACACUGGGACUGAGACACGGCCCAGACUCCUACGGGAGGCAGCAGUGGGGAAUAUUGGACAAUGGGGGCAACCCUGAUCCAGCGAUGCCGCGUGAGUGAAGAAGGCCCUCGGGUCGUAAAGCUCUUUAGGCCGGGAAGAAGUGCGGACGUUUAAGAGAUGUCCGUAUUGACGGUACCGGCAGAAUAAGCACCGGCAAACUCUGUGCCAGCAGCCGCCGUAAU
rnacentral:rRNA from 1 species